GAUGAAGAACGCAGUGAAAUGCGAUACGUAAUGUGAAUUGCAGAAUUCAGUGAAUCAUCGAGUCUUUGAACGCACAUUGCGCCCCCUGGUAUUCCGGGGGGCAUGCCUGUCCGAGCGUCAUUGCUGCCCUCAAGCACGGCUUGUGUGUUGGGCCUCCGUCCUCCUCCCGGGGGACGGGCCCGAAAGGCAGCGGCGGCACCGCGUCCGGUCCUCGAGCGUAUGGGGCUUCGUCACCCGCUCUUGUAGGCCCGGCCGGCGCUUGCCGACACAUCAAUCUUUUUUCCAGGUUGACCUCGGAUCAGAUAGGGAUACCCGCUGAACUUAAGCAUAUCAAUAAGCGGAGGA
rnacentral:misc_RNA from 1 species